ACUUGUCCACUUGAGGGCUUGACAGGCAGCUAACAGCUGGCCUGCUAGACUGUAUGGGAGAAUCAGCCUACAUCUUCUUCUGAGCAGAUGACAAGCUAAUCAGAGACAUAUCCAUAGCACAGGGCAUGUCCCCGGUCACUGAGCUACCUACGCCUUUCCCCAGUUGAUCUGAUCUCUCUUCAACGGUUCAGUCCCCUUCCCUGCGCAAAGCAAUCCAUGCAGAAUCUUCAAUUCCAGCUAUUCUUGAUUCCUCCUCAGAGUGUUCAGGGAUGGCAGCUUUCCAGUAUCCAAAGAAAUGACCUUUGAGUGAACCUCUAACCUUCCCCAAACUUCAAGGAGAAGAGCCUUCUCUGACCCUCCUGAGCAUCUCUGCUGGUUUCAAGGUUUAUUAAUGCCAGAAGAAGAAUAGUACAGCCCAUGAUUGACCAGUCAAAUCGAGCAGUGAGCCAAGGAGCAGCAUAUAGUCCAGAGGGUCAGCCCAUGGGGAGCUUUGUGUUGGAUGGUCAGCAACACAUGGGGAUCCGGCCUGCAGGACCUAUGAGUGGAAUGGGCAUGAAUAUG
rnacentral:lncRNA from 1 species